rnacentral:rRNA from 1 species
GACGAACGCUGGCGGCGUGCUUAACACAUGCAAGUCGAACGAAGUGGCGAACGGGUGAGUAAUACGUGGGUAACCUGCCCUCCUUUUUGGGAUAAGCCUUGGAAACGGGGUCUAAUACCGAAUAAAGGGGGAUGGGCUCGCGGCCUAUCAGCUUGUUGGUGGGGUGAUGGCCUACCAAGGCGGGGACGGGUAGCCGGCGUGAGAGGGUGAACGGCGACAGUGGGACUGAGAUACGGCCCAGGGGACUAAGGGAGGGAGCAGUGGGGGAUAGUGAACAAUGGGCGAAAGCCUGAUGCAGCGACGCCGAGUGGGGGAUGAAGGCUUUCGGGUUGUAAACCUCUUGAGCUAUCGAGCGGGUAGGUGGAGAAGAAGCGCCGGCUAACUACGUGCCAGCCGCCGCGGUAAUUC